rnacentral:rRNA from 1 species
CCUACGGGUGGCAGCAGUGAGGAAUAUUGGUCAAUGGACGAAAGGCUGAACCAGCCAAGUAGCGUGAAGGACGACUGCCCUAUGGGUUGUAAACUUCUUUUAUAUGGGAAUAAAACAGGCUAUGCGUAGCAUCAUGUAUGUACCUUAUGAAUAAGGAUCGGCUAACUCCGUGCCAGCAGCCGCGGUAAUACGGAGGAUCCGAGCGUUAUCCGGAUUUAUUGGGUUUAAAGGGAGCGUAGGUGGAUUUUUAAGUCAGUUGUGAAAGUUUGCGGCUCUACCUUAAAUUUGCAAUUGAUCCUGGCAGACUCGAGUUCAGACGAGGUAGGCGGAAUAAGUUAAGUAGCGGUGAAAUGCUUAGAUAUCACUUAGAACUCCGAUAGCGAAGGCAGCUUACUAGACUGCAACUGACACUGAUGCACGAGAGUGUGGGUAGCGAACAGGAUUAGAUACCCUAGUAGUC